rnacentral:rRNA from 1 species
UACGUAGGGGGCAAGCGUUGUCCGGAAUUAUUGGGCGUAAAGAGCGCGUAGGCGGUCCGAUAAGUCGGCUGUGAAAGUCAGGGGCUCAACCCUUGGAAGCCGGCCGAUACUGUCGGACUAGAGUCCGGAAGAGGCAAGUGGAAUCCCGGUGUAGCGGUGAAAUGCGCAGAUAUCGGGAGGAACACCAAUGGCGAAGGCAGCUUGCUGGGACGGUACUGACGCUGAGGCGCGAAAGCGUGGGGAGCAAACAGGG